rnacentral:rRNA from 1 species
UGAGUAAUGCCUAGGAAAUUGCCCUGAUGUGGGGGAUAACCAUUGGAAACGAUGGCUAAUACCGCAUGAUGCCUACGGGCCAAAGAGGGGGACCUUCGGGCCUCUCGCGUCAGGAUAUGCCUAGGUGGGAUUAGCUAGUUGGUGAGGUAAGGGCUCACCAAGGCGACGAUCCCUAGCUGGUCUGAGAGGAUGAUCAGCCACACUGGAACUGAGACACGGUCCAGACUCCUACGGGAGGCAGCAGUGGGGAAUAUUGCACAAUGGGCGCAAGCCUGAUGCAGCCAUGCCGCGUGUGUGAAGAAGGCCUUCGGGUUGUAAAG